rnacentral:rRNA from 1 species
UACAGAGGGUGCGAGCGUUGUCCGGAAUCACUGGGCGUAAAGGGCGCGUAGGCGGCUUGAUAAGGUUGCGGUGAAAGCCCGGGGCUCAACCCCGGGUCGGCCGUUGCAACUGUCGAGCUGGAGCACUGUAGAGGCAGGUGGAAUUCCGGGUGUAGCGGUGGGAUGCGUAGAGAUCCGGAAGAACACCGGUGGCGAAGGCGGCCUGCUGGGCUACGGCUGACACUGAUGCACGACAGCGUGGGGAGCAAACAGG